UGCCAUAGUUUCUUGUCUUCCUUUGAAUCGAGCUUCUCUCCCACUAUCGACUUUGCCUCACCAUCUGCAUCAGCCUUUGUUUCUUUCUCGUGAACAGUAACUCACCAUCUCACUGUCCGAACUCGCUGGCGUUCGUUGGCCCAGCUGCAAGUUACUCAUUCUCUAAGUGUUGAACUUGCCUCAUUUCCUCAUUCUUUCCUUCUCCCUCAUCGAUGAUUUUCUUGCACCAUCACCCACGUGCCAUCUAAGUAAGCUUUCAUUCUUUCCUCAUGUCUUCAUCAGCUCGAGAACAGCAGAACACUAACCCAUAGUCCAGCGUCUCUGCCUAUAUUUUUUUUCCUUUUCCUUCACAUCUGCAUCCGAGCUUGUUUCACUUCCAGCGUCUCUGCUCUGUUUCUUUUCCCUCACAUUGCUAUGUGUUCAAGGCGUUAUUUCCCUAUCCAUUCAAUUCAUCGCAGAACCUGUUCAUUAGGUGAGAUCCACUGCUGUGGCUGGAGGUAUGGCUAAGGUUUCUACUUUAAAAAAUGCUAUUGCCACAAAAGGGAAAGAAAAAGUCACCUUAGCACCUAAAGGGACUUCUCACAAGGUGUCUUCCUCCAAAUCUAAAGUUUCUACUUCGGCGCCACAAGCACCUACGGCUAGGUGAAAGGGUCGAGCCCAUUUUUCAAGAUUCAAGGCUGAGGAAGCAUCUACUCUCUUUAUUGCUUAUGUGGGGUCUAAAUCUUUUCACAAAGACCGAUAUUUAUCAAUCCUUACUCAUGAACCAGCUUAUCCAAGAGUUAUUGCCCAGGUUGGACAUGCUUCACUAAACAAUUUGACCAGUUUGUGCCUGCUUUAGUCCGUGAGUUUUAUGCUAAUGCCACUUUAUGUGAAGAAGGAAAAUAUUGGGUGUGAGGGAAAGAGGUUGUAAUUAAUUCUGAGGUUAUUAGGAAGCAUUUUGCCUUACCCCUAGUUUCUCAGUGCCAUUAUCAAGCUCUUCAGAAAGAUCGAAGCAACAUUAAUAGGGAAGCUAUUUCACGGUGUUUAACAACUAGGGGUCAAGCAGUUACACCAAAAGGAUUUCAGAAGGCCUCAUUUAAUUCGAAAGGCUGUAUUUUGGCUUCAUUUUAUAUCUGCUAAUAUUAUGCCUAGUUCCAACUCCACUGGGAUGACCACUGAUAGUGCCCCCUCACCUAUUGCAUCAUGACUAGCAAGUCGGUUGACUUAGCACCCUAAUUUUUGAAUCUUUGAAGGCUUGCAUCUUUGGAGGGGAAACUACUACUCUUGUCUUCCUUCACAUGAUUACGGAUAUUCUCUUAGCUGCUGGGGUGCCUAUUGAAGAAUUUGAGCCUCAAACCCUACCUAAGGCUCCCAUUAAGUAUGACCCCUUUCGCAAUCCUGUUGGUCCUGAGGAGCACAAUGCAGAAGUAGAUUUUGAGGAUCAUGAGGGAGAGCCAUUUGAUACUUGGGUUCGUCAACAAUUUGCCCUUUUACAUGAGGAGAACCGGACUAUGAGCAAUUGACACAAGUGUUGGCUCAAUAGAAACAAAUCCUAGAUGCUCUCAAAUAUCUCCCUUUACAUGUCUUAGCCGAUCUGGGUGUUUCUCCUAGUUCGGACACUUAGUGGCUACUGAUGGCCAUUACACUCGGCACCACUCUUGACUCCUUUUAGUUUAUUUUCUUUUUCUUGUUGUUUUUGUUUUUAGGAUUUCUUUUUAUUUUGUUUACACUCUUUGUGGUGCUAUAUUUUGAUUCCUAUAACUGCUUCUACAUUCACUAUUGGGUCUGUAAAUUGGUAUUGACUAACUGUCAUGCUAACUUGACAUAUUUUGUGCAGUUAACUUUGAAACUUAUCCACUUUCUCUUUGUUAUCUUGCCACAGGUGCAAUGUCUUCUCCCACUCUAUAUAUGUCAUCUGCUGUCUCUCAGUCUAUGAGUCUGUCAGCCUGAGUUGUCAAGGGAGUACUAGUGUCCCUCUCUCUUUCUCUCUAUGUUUAUGCAUUUUACACAUUAGGGACAAUGUGUAGUUUAAGUGUGGGGGAGGGAGUGAUUGUGUUCACUUUUGUUACAUUGUUUGAUGUCCUUGAGUUUUAUUGUUUGUUUUGUUAGGAAUUAUUGUACAUAUUGGUAAAUAGUCUUUUAAAAAAAUUUUAAUAUCUCAAAGAUAUUUUGCUUUGGUAUUUUUGUUUAUCUUUUGGUGAAUUUUGUUAAGGUUGGAUUGAUUUAGACUUAAAAGAAUUAAGUUUGAUUAGGAGUCAAUCUUCCCUUCUUAAAAAUUGAGUAAAUAGACAAAGAAUUAAGCUCAAAUAAUUGAAUAUAGGUUGUCCAAAAAGCUUGAAAGAAAUUUGAGCCUACAUAUCGUUUUCCUUGAAGAGGGAGUACAUUUAUUGUAAUUCUAUCUCUAGAACUUGUUUUGAAUCUUUAUUGAGACUUAUCAUAGCCAUUUGCAUAUACAAAAAUGAUCAAGGCAUUCAUUUACUUAGCUAGUUUGGCCAAACAUCCAUCCCAGUUAAUAAAAUCAUUUGUUUCACCCAUUUAAGCCUUAGCUUUAUUCUAAAAAAAAAUCAUAAGCCUUUUUGCUAAGAUUUAUCCACUUUUCAUCCAUUCUUAUUUUUAUUUACUACUCUAGUAAGUGCUAAGUGUUGCAUCUAUGAAAAGAAAUGAAGGAAUUAAGAGUUAGUUGGGGUUUUGAAUAGUGGUUCAAAAGAAAAAAAAAGGAGAGAAGAUGCAAAAAGAAGAGAAAAGAUUGGAAGUUAAAAAAAAAUGAUAAUGAAUAAUACCAAAAGAAAGAAAAUGAAGUGAAAAAAAAAUUGUGUCGAUCUUCAUUAAUACCUCUUGUAAAUAGUUAUGGACUUAUGGCUUACCCUUCAAUUUUCUUGCUCCUUAUUUAAGAUGCUUAGCACUGGCUAGAGUACGUAAUUUUAUCCCAUUGAAUAAUUUUCUUUCAUCACCAUACCUUGACAUUACAACCUUUAAAAAGUCCUUUUGAUUUGAGUGUGCAUUGGCAUAAUUAAGUGGAGAUUAAGAUGACAAACAAGCUUAUGGUAGAUGGUUUGUAAUAGAUGGAAUUGAGUGAAACACUAACUUGUAAACACCUUGAGCGCAGUGUGCAAACACUUGACUGGUAAGGGGCAACUUGUUGAAGAUUAUUUUUGCUUAAUUAAUUAUUUUGUUACUCUUUAUUUUUGGAAGAGGAGACAGAUUUUUAGUUAGACUAAGUUUCUGAAAGUUUAGAUUGUAUGUGACUUUGCAAUAUUCACAAUUUCUUUAGACCUUUUUGUAUAGUGAUUUUCUUUCGCUUGAGGACAAGCUAAUGUUCAAGUGUGGGGGUUUGAUGACUUUCAAUAUUUUAAUGAAUUUAAUAGUGUUUUUAAUGCAAUUGGAAGUCAUCUUGUGGAAUUAAUUAGCAAAUAUGUGAUUAAGUGGAUAAUUAUUUGUGAGAUUUGUUGUGGAUAAAGUCCAAAACAAUUGUUGAAGUUAGUGGAUCAAUUAUGGCAUUAAAUCUGAGUUUUAUUCAUAUAGGGAGGCCCAACUUAUGGGCCCAAAGAUGAUAAUUUUGAAGCCCACAAGGAAUUGAAUUCUGCCCAGUGUUGCUGCAGCACCAAUUUUGGAUGUCGCGACAUCAGACCAGUUUUUAGCAAAAUGCACAACUUCACUUAAAAUCAUGUUUUAAGGGUUUCUGGCUUUCAUUUCCGUUCCAGUUCGUCUUCAACCAGCAACUGCACGUCCAGGGAGCAUUCUAAGGUGGAGAAAGAGUUGGAGAAGCUUGGGGAACACUUGGGUCUUGCGAUUUGUGACAGAAAUCAUCCUUCCUAAGCUUAUUUUUUUGCAUUGCCACGGUGGAUUGGGCCAAUGGAGAUCAAAUGAGGAGUGUAAGCGUCAUCCUUUCUAAAUUCUUCUGGCACCUUUAAGAUACAACACUUUUCAAACAACAUAGAAUCAUCUACUUCGUUGAGGAUGUCUAAAAAUAUGUAUCUAGCAAUAUCAUUGUUAUCUUCUGCCAUUGAAUCC